AAUAGAUACCCUGGUAGUCCACCCCGUAAACGUUGGGAACUAGUUGUGGGGACCAUUCCACGGUUUCCGUGACGCAGCUAACGCAUUAAGUUCCCCGCCUGGGGAGUACGGCCGCAAGGCUAAAACUCAAAGGAAUUGACGGGGACCCGCACAAGCGGCGGAGCAUGCGGAUUAAUUCGAUGCAACGCGAAGAACCUUACCAAGGCUUGACAUAUACGAGAACGGGCCAGAAAUGGUCAACUCUUUGGACACUCGUAAACAGGUGGUGCAUGGUUGUCGUCAGCUCGUGUCGUGAGAUGUUGGGUUAAGUCCCGCAACGAGCGCAACCCUCGUUCUAUGUUGCCAGCACGUAAUGGUGGGAACUCAUGGGAUACUGCCGGGGUCAACUCGGAGGAAGGUGGGGAUGACGUCAAAUCAUCAUGCCCCUUAUGUCUUGGGCUUCACGCAUGCUACAAUGGCCGGUACAAAGGGCUGCAAUACCGUAAGGUGGAGCGAAUCCCAAAAAGCCGGUCCAGUUCGGAUUGAGGUCUGCAACUCGACCUCA
rnacentral:rRNA from 1 species